rnacentral:rRNA from 1 species
AUGUAAAAUGACUCUCGGCAACGGAUAUCUCGGCUCUUGCAUCGAUGAAGAACGUAGCGAAAUGCGAUACUUGGUGUGAAUUGCAUAAUCCCGUGAACCAUCGAGUCUUUGAACGCAAGUUGCGCCCAAAGCCAUUAGGCUGAGGGCACGCCUGCCUGGGUGUCACAC